rnacentral:lncRNA from 1 species
GCAUAUUCAUUUGCAUGCUAGUAACAUUGAAAUACAAAUCUUAGUAUUUAUAGAGAUUAAAAUCAUAUUUAAGUCAAAAUUUUAUUAUUAUGUACAUUGUUGAGACAAAUUUUAUGUUGUUGGAUAGGUUGGACUAAAAGGUGAAUCAUUGAGCCUUCAUACCAUAACUGGAAGUUCCUCCAUUGAUUGGACACAAGGAUCAUCAUUGGCUAAAAAACAACCUUUGACAUGGUACAAGGUAAGAAUAUUUGUACUAAAAAUGCUACAACUUUGUCGAUGUUACAUAUGACCAUCUACAUUUUCAUGAAAUCUGAGCCAUUUUAUUCAUAUAUCUUGUUAGACAACCUUUGACGCACCGAGUGGCAAUGAUCCAGUGGCACUAGAUAUGAGUAGCAUGGGAAAGGGUGAAAUAUGGAUAAACGAUCAAAGCAUUGGUCGUCAUUGG